rnacentral:rRNA from 1 species
AUUGAACGCUGGCGGCAGGCUUAACACAUGCAAGUCGAGCGAGCGGCGGACGGGUGAGUAAUUUCUGGGAAACUGCCUGAUGGCGGGGGAUAACUACUGGAAACGGUAGCUAAUACCGCAUACCAUCAGAUGUGCCCAGAUGGGAUGAGCUAGUAGGUGGGGUAAUGGCUCACCUAGGCGACGAUCCCUAGCUGGUCUGAGAGGAUGACCAGCCACACGGGAACUGAGACACGGGCCAGACGCCUACGGGAGGCAGCAGUGGGGAAUAUGGCACAAUGGGCGCAGGCCUGAUGCAGCCAUUCCGCGUGUGUGAAGAAGGCCUUCGGGUUGUAAAGCACUUUCAGCGAGGAGGCGUUACUCGAAGAAGAAGCACCGGCUAACUCCGUGCCAGCAGCCGCGGUAAUAG